CUUCAGGAUGGAGCAAACUGAAUCUGCUGCUAUGCUUUCUAUUUUACAGGAUAUAUACUGUAUCAGAGCACUUGUGUGGAGUAGCGUAGAACAGAAGAAGAGAGCCAUUGUUGACUUAAACUACAGCCUCAAGCUGAAUCCUUCUCAUGUCUGUGCUUUAAUCAUAAGGGGUGCCAUCAUAAAUAAUCUUAUGGCCAAAGGGAGCCUGCAGCCUUUAGAAAAAAAUAAAGACCAUGAAAAGGCCUUUCAACUGUCCAAGAAGAAUCAACAGUUUUUUGAUGUGGAGGACUUCUCUAAUCUUAAAAUGGCAGACUUCUAUGAUAAUUACUUUGAAGAAUCUAUGGGAGUGAGAUAGGCAAGCACUGCCAGAAGCCAAUGUACAAAGAUAUCUGUGGUCGCUAAAUGUGUCUCACACAAUUAUGGAAAUCAGCUUUUUGUCUGGACAGUUAUUUAAUUCACAGUCAUCAUCCUUUCGUAAGAAUUUUGAAAGUGUUUGUUUUAGUGCACUAUCUUGCUUAUCUUGUUGUUG
rnacentral:lncRNA from 1 species